CUUGUACCACGGCAGAUCAAUAUCGUUGGUCGCGGACAACAAGUGAUGUAUAAUGCUGUGUAGUAUAAUAAAUGAUAAGACACUUGUGUCACGCCUGCCUGGCUUUGUUGUGCUGGGUGUGCUCACUCCACCAUGGACAGAAUAUGUUUGAGCCGUCUCUCUCCCCCCAAUCUGAAGGGGGAGCUGUCUGUUUUCGGUCCAUCUGACAGUAGCUGAUUGGCGGGACUGUAUAAAAACAUCUCCUGCCAGUUGUUCAGGGGUUGCUCUGGGCUGCGCGUCUCUGCUUUGCUCUGGCCUCCAGGCUGGUGGCAGCACCAUUUUUGCCUUUUUGCAUUACACAUAGUUUACACUUUACUGAUCUGCACUACACUUUUGUUUCUCAAUUACUGACGUAGUACAUUAAUUGAUUCAAAUUAUGAUUUCAUUGUAUAAUUUAAUGUUUAAUAAAUUAUUUUGGAUUUAACUUAACAAGCGGUGUGGUCUUCCCUAUGUCAUUGCUACUGUGAGCCAGGUAGUCGUGACAUAUGGGGGCUCGUCUGGCCAUUUGGAUCCCGAAAUUGCGCUUCGGCGUGGGUUUAGGUUGCUGGUCACUGAAGUCCGAACGAGGGCACCGCCGUGGAGCACCGGCUGAAUUGACUUGUGUCGGGACAGUACAAUUCCAACUGUAUUGGUGAGUAAAUUAGCGUUGUUCUUGGACUUAGUGUGAACAUCGAUCAGAAUAGUAGGGGGGUAAAUGUUUAAGGGGAAACUCCGUUGUUGUCCUGUAACGUGAGCUGCAUUCCGCUUAGCCCGAUUUAAUUUUUGUGGUUGGAAUUUUUGGGUUUAAUAACCCGAAAGAUGUUGAGAUAUAGGCCUAGUUUUUGUUUGUUCGGCUAGAUGUAUUGCUGCUGGGUGUUUAUUUGUAAACAUAGCCAGGUUUGAUUGAGUGAUGAUUUGUAAUUUAGGUUGUAAUAAUGGGUACACUUGAGGCGUUUUUGGCUGCUCCUUCAGUGGCCUUGCUUGCAGCAUUAAAUAUUAAACAAUUGCAUAGUGUGGUCAAGCACUAUAAAAUUGAUGCAACAUUGCCGAGGGGAGCUAAAAAGCAUGAGCUGCUUGACUUCAUUCGUGUGUGUUUGGUUGAUAAGAACGUGUUACCGGACGAGAAAUUGCCGAAGCGAUGUAGUCAGGGAGCGUCGAGUUCAUAUAGUGAACUUACUCCAUAUAGUGAGCCCACUCUGAGUUUGAUGGUAGGCCCACAACUAAAAUCCAGUGUAUUAACAUUUGAACAGCAGGUUGAAUUGUUAAAACUGCAACAUGAGUUGCAAGUGGAACAAAAGACGUUGGAAUUGGAACAGGAAUUAGCAAGGAAAAAAUUAGAUGACGAAUUAGCUCAAAGAAGACUUGAUAAUGAAUUGGAUUGUAAAAGGUUAGAAGCUGUACAAAAAGAUAAAGAUCGUGAGUUGGAAUGGGAAAGAAUGAAAAAUUUAGAGCAGGAACGUGAGAUUGAGCGUACUAGGCUGCAAUUAGUAGCUGAAGGCAAACUUGGCAAAUCGCAGCAGUCUGGCCUGGCCCGUAUGAUCAAGUUCCUGCCUAAGUUUAAUGCGCAUGAUCCAGAUGUGUUUUUCUCGUUUUCUCGUUAUUUGAGAAUAUUGCUAAAGAACGUCGUUAUAUUCGUGUUAAUACGGACACAUCUGUGUUUUCCAAUUCAACUGCACGUGGUAAACCAUCGGAUUUUGAUCUUAAAACAGAUUGUAACAGAUGCUACCAUUAUCCAUUUACAUCCAGUCUUUGUGCUAAGCUAGGCUAGCGGUGGGUGCAUCAAAUAACACUUACAGAACGCACAGAAAUGAAAAAAGUAUGUAUGGACUUAUCUAACUCUGGGGGAUACUGUGAAUAAGCUAAAGUCCCAAAAAGUCGGAGUGUUCCUUUAACAGGCGAUAUGAUGUUCUGUAUGCAGAAAACCGGUUAUGAGACGAUUGUGAACGAAAUCAAAGCACUGAACGCGGGCGGUAUGAUUCAACUAUUGUUUCUUUAUUUAUUAAAAGCAAACAUACCAUUAUGUAUAACGAACUCAUGUUUAUGUACGUUCUUUUUUUAUUAUUCCCGCUGACCGCGCAACCUCCACAACCUAACGUUGCGGUCGAGGUGCCCGGGAUUAGGCCUGACAUCACCCCAGCAUCCGCGAGCGCUCAGUCGAUUAGUACAGCGAGGGAACGAGCCGUGAGAGAUACGCUAACUGAAAACAGGGGAUCGCUCUCUUGUUUAAGACGACUUGUUAACCGAUACAGACCGUUACAACUGCUGAUCGACAUGAAACAGCAAACAGUGCUAGACACGGGCCAUCGUUUGGAAGAAGAGUGGCUGUGACUGCUCAGAUCCAUGCACUGCCGCAAAUAUCUACUAAUUCUGCACCUAUUGGUGUUAGAAGAUCAUGCCAGGAAGACCAGAACGUGACUGCUCUGCCGGUUCAGGCCAAUGGACAAAAGACUGCAAACCCCUGUGAGAUCAGUGUGAUACCUAACACCCCUGAGCGAAAACGUCCAAGACAAUCAACUCAAUCAGAAGACACAGAGUUCUGGAACGAACAUUUUGCUCAUGCAUGGGAUGGAUGUGAUAUGAACGCCCCAUCUAAUGUGGAUCAAGAGAAGAAUUUAAAUCAACCCACAGACACUGUUGAAAACGCCGCAGAUUCAGAUGAUGAUGCAGACAAGCUUCCUUCAAACCAGGAGGAAUACAAGAACCAACAGCAGAAUGACACAAACAAAGACAUUUUGAACAAUAUUGCCAAGAGCCAAGAAAGAAUUAUAGAGGACCAAGCACGUUUUAAUCAGACUAUUGCCAAGAACCAACAGUAGAAUGACGCAAACAAAGACAUUUUGAACACUAUUGUCAAGAACCAAAAAAGAAUUAUAGAGGACCAGCAGAAACACUGGAUCAUCCUUAAACAAAUUAUUGCGUUACUAAAACGUCAUGAUGGCAGACAUGCUCAGACGGCCUGUGAACAGGAAAUGACUGUAACGCUGUUAACUGAACUGCUGGGGCUUUUUAAAUAACUGUAUUGGUGAGUCCUAUUUUUUUUUUUACCCAGUUUUUUUUCUUCCUAAGUGUGUAUUGUUUUUGUCACAAGUGUGCAUAGAUGUGGUUUUAUGAUUAGAUUUUUUCCUUCUACGUUUAGUUGUGUGGGGUGUAUUUUGUGAAUAUUUUUAAAAUAAAUUAGAGUUAGAAAUGGCUG